UUCCAGAAGUUGAGGGAAACCCCGAAGAACCAGCAAUUGAAGGAAAAUCUAAAGAACUUGUUGAUGAAGAGACACCUGAUGUACCAGUGGUUGAGAAACCUGAAAAACAAAUGGUUGAGGAGAAACUUGAAGAACCAAUGAUUGAGGAGAAAUCUGACGAACUAGUCGAGGAGAAAUCUCAACAACCAGCGGCUGAAAAGAAACCUGAAGAACCAGCAGCUAAAGAAUCACCUAAAGAGGUAGCAGGGGAGGAAACAUCUGAAGAACUAGCACUUGAAGAGAAACUUAAAGAACCAACAGUUGAAGAGAUACCUAAAGAACUAGUUCUUGAAGAUAAACCUGGAAACCCAGAAAAUGAAGAGGAUAAACUUGAAACAGUAACUCUCCAGGAAAAGGUAAGAAACAAGCAGUGUCACAGAGUUUAUCCAUCCUAUUAGCUCUAUAUAUGCAACGAAUUCACAUCUGUUUAUCCACUGAAAGACCAAGUGAAACUUUAAAUUUUCUUGCAGAAUUUACCAAUUGCAGACUCAAAGGACAAGACUGACAAUGCAACUCCCUACAACAACAAUGAUAUUGCUGACUAUGUAGCAGUUAAGGAAAAAACUGAAGAACCAGUAGUUGAGGAAAAACAUGAAGAACCGGCAAUUGAAGAGAAAUCUGAAGAAUCAGCAUUAAUGAAAAAAACUGAAGAACCAGCGGUUGAGGUAAAACCUGAAGAACCGUCAGUGGAAAAGAAGCCUGAAGAACCAGCGGUUAGGAAAAAACCUGAAGAACCAGCAGUUAAUGAGGAACCUGAAAAAUCAGCAACGGAAGAGAAACCUGAAGAACCAAUUGUUGAGGAGAAACUUGAAGAACCAACUCUUGAAGAGAAACCUGGAAAAUCAGUAAUUGAAGAAACACCUGAAGAACCAACACUGGAAGUAACACCUAAAGAACAAGCGUUUAAAGAGAAACCAGAAGAACCAGCAGUUGAAGAGGAAAAAUCUGACAAGGUAACUCUUUUGGAAAAGGUGAGCAUCAAACAUUGUCACAAAUUUUAGCCAUCCUACUAGUUCUGUAUGUGCAAUAAUUCGUAUCAACUUAUCUAUUGAAAGACUAAGUGAAACUUUAAUUCUUCUUGCAGAAUAUACCAGUUGUAGAUUUCAAUGAUAAGACUGACAGUGUAAUUCCAUGCAAUACCAACGACGAUGUUGCUGAAUACGUAGCAGUUGAGGAAAACCUUGAAGAACCAACAGUUGAGGAGAAACCUGAAGAAUUAGCGGUUGAAGAGAAACCUGAAAAACCAGCAAUUGAGGAGAAAAGUGAAGAACCAAUAAUUGAGAAGAAACCUAAAGAACCAGCAGUUGAGGAGAAACCUGAAGAACAAACCGUUGAAGAGAAACUUGAAGAACCAACAAUUGAAGAUGAGAAACUUGAAAGGGUAACUCUCCUAGAAAAGGUGAGGAUCUAGCAUUGUCACAAAGUUUGUCCAUCCUAAUAGUUUUAUAUGUGCAAGCUUUUCAGAUCUGCUUAUCUAUUGAAAGACUAAGUGAAACUUUAAAUUCUUCUUACAGAAUAUGCCAGUUGUAGACUCGAACGACAAGACUGACUGUGAAAUUCCAUGCAACACCAACAAUGAUGUUGCUUACUAUCCAGCAGUUGAGGAAAAUCUUGAAAAAACAACAAUUGAGGAAACAACUGAUGAACCAGUGGUUGAAGAGAAACCUGAUGCACAAGCGAUUAAGGAGAAACCUGAAGUACCAACGAUUGAGCAGAAACUUGAAGAGUUAGCAGGAGAGGAAACCCAUGAAGAACUAGCAGUUGAAGAGAAGCUAGAAGAACCAAUUACUGAAGAGACACCUGCAGAACUAGUUAUUGAAGAGAAACAUGAAAACCCAACAAUUGAAGAGGAGAAACCUGAAACAGAAGCUCUCCUAAAGAAGGUUAGGAUUAAACACUGUUUCAAAAUUUAUCCAUCCUAUUAGCUUUAUAUGUGCAAGGAACUCACAUAUGUUAAUCUACUGAAAGACUAAGUCAAACUUUCAAGUUUUCUUGCAGAAUAUGCCAAUUGUAGACUCAAAGGACAAGAUUGACGUUGAAAGUCCAGGCAAUAACAACAAUGAUGGUGCUGACUAUCCAGCAGUUGAAGAUAAACCUGAAGAACUAACAGUUGAAGAAAAACAUGAAGAACAAGCAAUUGAAGAGAAACCUGAAGAACCAGUGGCCACAGAGAAACCUGAAGAACCAGCGAUUAAGGAAAAAGCUGAUGAACCAGCAGUGCAAGAGAAACCUGAAGAACCAGCUGUGGAAAAGAAACCUGAAGAACCAGCAGUCGAGGAGAAACUUGACGAACCACCAGUUGAAGAGAAAUCAGAAGAACCAGUAGUUGAACAAACACCUGCAGGACCAGCAUGGGAAGAAACAUCUAAAGAACUAGCAUUUGAAGAGAAACCUGAAGAACCAGCAGUUGAAAAAACACCUGAAGAACUAGCAGUUGGAAAGAACCCUGAAAAAACAGCAGUCGGAGAGAAACAUGAAAAAGUAACUCUCUUGGAAAAGGUGAGGAUCAAGCACAAUCA
rnacentral:lncRNA from 1 species